rnacentral:tRNA from 1 species
GCGCCAGUAGCUCAGCGGAUAGAGCAACGGCCUUCUAAGCCGUGGGUCGCGAGUUCGAUUCUCGCCUGGCGCG